rnacentral:pre_miRNA from 1 species
CAAAUCGUAAAAAUGGUUGUGCUGUGUUGUUUUGAAUAUUCAUAUCACAGCCAUUUUGACGAGUUUGA